rnacentral:lncRNA from 1 species
GGUUAUCCAAGAGAGCAACAACCAGCAAGCAAGGGAACAGCAACCAAGCAGUGAUCCUGAACAAAGAGAAAUCCAUCUGAACUAAUAGAAAUCCAUGCAAACAUAAAAUCCAUCUGAAGAUGCUAAUCCAUCUAAACAUAGAUAUAGUAAUCCAUCUGAACAUAGAAAUCCAACUGACUAAGGGUAUGCAUCUGAACAUAGAAAUCCAUUUGAACAUAUUAUCAUGCCUCC